GACGAACGCUGGCGGCGUGCCUAAUACAUGCAAGUCGAACGCACUCUCGUUUAGAUUGAAGGAGCUUGCUCCUGAUUGAUAAACAUUUGAGUGAGUGGCGGACGGGUGAGUAACACGUGGGUAACCUGCCCUAAAGUGGGGGAUAACAUUUGGAAACAGAUGCUAAUACCGCAUAAAACCUAAACACCGCAUGGUGUAGGGUUGAAAGAUGGUUUCGGCUACCACUUUAGGAUGGACCCGCGGUGCAUUAGUUAGUUGGUGAGGUAAAGGCUCACCAAGACCGUGAUGCAUAGCCGACCUGAGAGGGUAAUCGGCCACACUGGGACUGAGACACGGCCCAGACUCCUACGGGAGCAGCAGUAGGGAAUCUUCCACAAUGGACGAAAGUCUGAUGGAGCAACGCCGCGUGAGUGAAGAAGGUUUCGGAUCGUAAAACUCUGUUGUUGGAGAAGAAUGUAUCUGAUAGUAACUGAUCAGGUAGUGACGGUAUCCAACCAGAAAG
rnacentral:rRNA from 1 species